rnacentral:siRNA from 1 species
AGAAACGCCACUGGAAGAACAAUG